rnacentral:rRNA from 1 species
ACAACGGGGCAUGCCUUAGUACGGCGAGUGAGCGGCAAAAGCUCAAAUUUGAAAUCUGGUACCUUCGGUGCCCGAGUUGUAAUUUGGAGAGGGCAACUUUGGGGCCGUUCCUUGUCUAUGUUCCUUGGAACAGGACGUCAUAGAGGGUGAGAAUCCCGUGUGGCGAGGAGUGCGGUUCUUUGUAAAGUGCCUUCGAAGAGUCGAGUUGUUUGGGAAUGCAGCUCUAAGUGGGUGGUAAAUUCCAUCUAAAGCUAAAUAUUGGCGAGAGACCGAUAGCGAACAAGUACAGUGAUGGAAAGAUGAAAAGAACUUUGAAAAGAGAGUGAAAAAGUACGUGAAAUUGUUGAAAGGGAAGGGCAUUUGAUCAGACAUGGUGUUUUGUGCCCUCUGCUCCUUGUGGGUAGGGGAAUCUCGCAUUUCACUGGGCCAGCAUCAGUUUUGGUGGCAGGAUAAAUCCAUAGGAAUGUAGCUUGCCUCGGUAAGUAUUAUAGCCUGUGGGAAUACUGCCAGCUGGGACUGAGGACUGCGACGUAAGUCAAGGAUGCUGGCAUAAUGGUUAUAUGCCGCCCGUCUUGAACACACGGACC